UCUAUGCAACUUAGUUAAUAUUUCGGUUUUCGUAUUUUAGAUCUUUGCCCCAACCAUACAAGACCAACAUUGGUUUUGUUAUGUACUUGAUAAGAUCAAAAAGAAGUUGUUCGUGCUAAACUCUUUGUAUAGUGAAAGAAAUGAAGAUGAAAAACAGUUGGAUCUUUUUAUGAAGAGGAACUUCGAGAACUUGCUGCAUUUCAUGGAUGAAUGUCAAACAUUAGAGCUCGUUUACGAGGACUUGCCGCAACAAAAAAAUAUCCAUGACUGUGGAAUAUAUGUUUUAAAGUAUUUGGAGAUGUGGGAUGAUGACA